GCUAAAGCGGCAGCACACAAGCUUCGUUAACGCUGAACUUUUCCUCCUUAUCGAACUCGUCACCAUUUCUCAAACGUGUCCAUCAUGGAGUUGCCUUCAAUUUCCACAUGCCAUUUUCUCUUCUAUCUCACUAUUUCUCUCCCAUGCAGACUGUCCCUCUCUCUACUUCUGCCUUUUACCUGCGAUUCUUCGGUUCCCUACUCUAAUUCGUCUACAUUUCUCCUUUUACUAAUUGGGGUUCAUAAAUCUGGUUACAGCUUCAGAAAAAUCUUUGGCAUGUAGUUCAGCAACAAAGGUAGUGGUACUGGUGGGUUCAAUGGCUUUUCUUUCAGAAUUCCUGAAUACUACAAUAUUGUUGGUCACGAGGCCUUUCUCGUUUUUCAUGCGUACAUGCUCAUUUAUCUUGAAAACCUUUGUUGUUGUUGUUCAAACUUGGUUGGAGCUGUUGAAGACCUCGGUCAGUCUUCACUUGAACAUAUUUUGGACAACUUUGAUGUGGAUAAUCGCAAUUGUCUCUCUUCCUGGACGAAUUUUAGCUGCUUUACGGAGGGAAAGGCAGUUGCAACAAUAUUUGCAAUUUCUGGAAAUCAAGUUUGAUAAUGUUUUGUGGGAAAGAAAGGAGCUCCAAAAACAAUUCCAGGCUGCUAUGAAAGAGCAUAAGAUGAUGGAAUUGAUGUUGGACGAACUUGAAAUGAUACAUGAAAAGGCGACCAACAAGAUUGCACUCUUAGAAAGUGAGAUGCAGCAAUUGAGGAACCAAAAUCUUCGACUGCAGGAAAUUAAGGGUAAGGAUUAUUGGAGCUUAAAAGGACUUGAUGUUAAAAGUGAAGCACAAAAAACUGGCAGAGUUGACAGGGACAUUACCUAUGGUAUCUCAUCAUGCUCAUCCCGCUCCAGUAGCAGCAGCAUUGUUCAAGACCUCUGUCAAAUUGAUGCUUUAAAAGAUGCUAGUAUAUCUAAAGAAAAAUUGAUCAAAAUCUUAGAAUCUGGGUUAAAAUCUGGGGUGCUCAUCCAUUCUCAUACUGAAAUCCUAUCAAAAGAUGAAUAUGUCACUCAACUUCUUGAUGAGCAAAGGGAGGUUGCAAUGUCCAGAAGUCUAUUCAGUACUCUAUUGUCACUUUUGGUUGGAGUGAUUAUAUGGGAAGCUGAAGAGCCUCACUUGUGUCUUGUAGUGGCUCUCAUGUUUGUUGUUAGCAUCUCGUUGAAGAGUGUAGUUGAGUUUUUCACGACUAUUAAGAAUAAACCUGCUUUGGAUGCUGUUGCUCUUUUGAGCUUCAACUGGUUCGUGCUUGGAAUACUAGCCUACCCAACACUGCCAAAUAUUUCUCGUUUUCUUGCUCGUUUUCUUGCUCCUUUGGCCUCAAGGGUUGUUGAAUGGUUCGGUUUCUCCAUUUCCUGACUUGAUCAGAACUGCUUGGCUCAGCAAGCAGCAAAUCGAGAGGUACAUCACCUUAUACCACCAGACAGACAUUAGAUCAUAAAACUUUAUCUUCUAGUUGUGAAUUCUCUACUUAGCAUGUGAUAUAGAGGUUUUAAAGAAGUUUUUUCGUCUUCAUCAUGAUUUCGUUCUAUAAACAUGGGAGUUUCAUGAUUUUUUGAAUUUUUUAUACUUGAAGAUGUGGAUGCUAGAGUGUUUUUUUAGGGUCGUUUAUAUCAUGUAAAUAGGUAAAACUUUCUACUUGAAUCUAACUUAUCGGUUCUCUUUUUGUACGAAUGAUUGGUUUGUUGUUUACAUUGCAAUGAUUAUAAGUUGUUUUGAAAAAAAUGUAGUUUUUACUAACUCGUUGGUUAGCUAGCUUUUAAAGAUUGACGUAUGCUUGCUAGCUUUUAAAGAUUGACGUAUGCUUUUCCUUUUUCAACAUGUGGCGUGGAGGGACUUUGAACACUGCACUUUUGCACCUUUGAUCUUUUGGUCGAUGUACCUUUGUUGGCCUACAUGGAUCAAGUUUGGGUGGUUUAUGGUUGUCAAUAAUAAAAAAACCACAUGAUGGAAAGCUCCCCUUUGAGAGUUCUUUUGAUGGUGAUGAUUUGUUCGACAGAUAUUUCGAAUCCUGAAGUAAGAUUAGUCCUUAUUCACAGGGUUAACUGCAUCAUUCAGUAAACUAUACGUUUUAUUACGAGUUAAGUUGGUGUGUUUGUAGUCAGGAAUAAAUUGUAUAAAUUUUUCUAUGGUAUUUUGCAUAAAUUUUUCUAUGGUAUUCUGUUAGAUAAUGAAGUGAGGCAUUGUCCUUCUCACUCACACCAUAUCUAAAAGGAUCUCAUUGAAAUCUUUUGAGAUGUUAAUUGUAAAUUAUGUAUUUAGACGGGUCACAUUUUGUCAACGGGUGAUAUAUUAUUAUUCUA